GUGAUUUCCAACCCCAAACGGCUCAUUUAUGUCAGAUGACUGUAUAAUCUCCACAUGGCCCGUGUCACCUUCCAUAUUCUGGGGUCGCAGGGGGCUGGAGCCUAUCACAGCCGUCAUCGGGUGAGAGGCAGGUUACACCCUGGAAAGGUCAAGGAUUAGGACCACUCCCUUUUUUUCUCAGUGAUUCUGAAAGCUGUCAAAAAUGCCAAGAAAUGUCAGAAUUGUAAGAUUAGUGUCAGAAUUCUGACGUUUUGUUUUCAGAAUUGUGAAAAGAAAAUAAGUUUUUUUCUUCAGCCCUAACCGUCUUCAAUGGUACUAGGUACAUUCUCAAAUGCUUUUUUUUCCCUCAGGACAUUUGAGGCCACCAAACUGAUAAACUCCUAAUCAGAGAAUGGGCUGCAGUUUUUGGUAAUUUUAUCCAGCUCUGUCCUGGGACGUAGACUUGAGUAAAUUAAUGCAUAAAGUCUGUUUUUUGUUCAAACUCUGCUUACUGCAUCUCUGUUGUUUUUCAUGCAAGUUGUGUAUUGGCUGGCACACAAGUAGGUAGGUCAAUCACCAAAAGCAGUUACCUUAAAAAAAUGAAGCUACAAAGUUUUGCUGGGAUUUCCCUUAAAAAAAAGUAAAUAAAAAUAAAAUGGAAAUUUUUUUUACAAAAAAAUAGUGAGUUGGUACACUUCUUUAAUAAAAGGGUAAGGAACAACCAAAGUGUCACACGUGGCCUGGGGUCAGCACAAUGCACAGGCAGGCUUUAUACCAACUGAUUGGCUGCUACUUACAGACAAAAAGGUUUAACAGCUGGUGGUGGGGCUGCCGUGUAGCUAAGCUGACCAUAUUCUGGACAGCUGCUCUCAGUGACAUCAUACAGAGCCAAAAGUAGAGCCUUUGCUGAUAAUCAGAGGUGGGUAGAGCAGCCAAAAAUUGUACUCAAGUAAAAGUAGCACUACCUUAAUAUAGUUUUACUCAAGUAAAAGUAAAAAGUAGCCAUCCAAGAAAUUACUCAUGUAAGAGUAAAAAAGUAUUUAUUAAAAAAAGUCUACUUGAGUAUUGAGUAACUGAUCAUAACAUCUGAUUUAAUGUUUAAAAAUGAGAUAAUCAGACAGACAAGAACGUUUAAAAUACCAAAAUUUGCACUAAAGACAGAAAAAGAAAUACUAUAUAUAAAUAACAUGAUUACAAAAUAAUAAAUCUAAGAAACACUUUUCCAAAUCAUUAUUAAACUAAUAUUUACAGAAGGUAAUAUAAGUAUAUGGUGCUGCUUUGCCUCUCCAAAUGGCACAACAGGCUCAGCAGAUAGAAUAAUAUUAAAACAACAAACCUUAUGUACAAACAAGAAGUCUCAUUUCAACAUAAACUGUAGGUUUGUGUUUCGUGCAUUUUUGGUUAAAACGUGUUUAUUAUUCAUUUACUGAAGUUAUUCACACUGAGUAGAAUAGCCAGAAUUGUUUCUCAAGUAAGAGUAGUGAUACUUCAUAAUAAUAUUACUCAAGUAAAACUACUCCUGAAAGUAAUUCUUUUCCAAAAAGUAAAUGUAAUUAGUUACUACCCACCUCUGCUGAUAAGACGAGAGAAACCCUCAUUGGGGCAGUUAGAGACUGAAGAGGACGCCAGAUGACCAUGAGAACCAUGAUCACCAGCACCAUUAAGCGAGGCACCGAAGAAUGAAAAAGGUCAUCGGUAGUUUUGUUUUUUUAAGAACUAAAGCAAUAAGCUAACGUACAAUACAGUGCCAAAUUUUAGAGUUUUAUUAGUAGCCUAACAAACAAGAUACAAAGUGUCCAUGUUAUUGAGAAUGAAUAAUGAAACUAAGACUCCAAUAGCUGUGAUUGUUUAUUGCAGCAACAAAACAAAACAAUUGAAAUAAAGCUAAGCAAAUGUGCGCACAGUUUGAGAGAAAGGAAAAAGAACAAAAAAAGAAAACCACGCACAAUAAUAAUCGACCAUUUUCAAACAUUCUUUAACAAGGGUUACACUUUUCCCCUUUGACCCAAAACUCAUCUGCUAAUUCUUACAAGCCAGUGCUGAAAAUGGAGUUGCAAUUUCCAGAACUUGCCCCAUUAUAAACCAACAGGAUUAAGGUAAAAAUCACUCAAAUGACGAAUGGUUAAUGUAUCAUGUUAACAAGUGUGGUGAACUACAAUCAGUCAGAUGGGUUUUGGACAGAAUCCUGCUUUCAGUCAUUUGAAAUGGACUCACAUCCAUUUGUUUUCUGUCUAGCAACUCUGCUUUAACACCAGUUUGAUUCUUAGAGAAACAGGAAAAACAACAAACUGAACCCUGAUACAUGAAACUAAACAAUCCAAGUAUUCGUCAGCUCAGAAACAAAAAGAAGAGGCACAAGGAAAUCUCAGUGAAUUCAUCAAAAGAGAAGGUACGAUGAACUUUAAUUCAUUAAACUAAAUCCAUAACACAGGGUGGGAGCUGA